UCAGCAGGAUGUGGGUAGGGCCAGACAAGAGAAUAAAAGCAGGCUGCCGGAGCUGGCAGUAGCAAUUGGCUGGGGUGUUUUUCCGCUCUGUGGGAGAUUUGUUCUUUCGCUUUUUGGGUCCACGCUGCGUUUGUGAGCUGUAACACCGUGAAGGUCUGCAGCUUCACUCCUGAAGUCAGGCGAGAAGACUACGAACCCACCUGGAGGAACGAACAACUCCAGACUCGCCGCAUUAAGAGCGGUAACACCGCGAAGGUCUGCAGCUUCACUCCUGAGCCAGCGAGAUCACGAACCCACCGGAAGGCUGUAACAUAUCUGAACAUCAGAAGGAACAAACUCCGGACAGGCCGCCUUCAGGAACUGUAACACUCACCGCGAGGGUCCGUAGCUUCAUUCUUGAAGUCAGUGAGACCAAGAGCCCACCAAUUCCGGACACAACAGGACACACUGCGGCUUCUCCUGGCUUUUUCAAAGUUCAGCCCAAGAGGAAGAGAGACCUAAUUAAUACCCAGGAGAUGGUGGUGUUUAUUUUUUCCAGCUGGGACAACUAAGGCCCCGAGAGGAGAAAGGGACUAUCCGGGGUACAGAGGCCACUGAGUCAGAGCUAGGACCAACAUAUCACCAGCUCUCCCUCUUCAGCGCAGACCCCAACUCACCAGCGGUGGCUUCCUGAAGAGCUGGGUUAAGGAGGAUUCUGAGGUGCAGCAGAGCUCGCUAAGAGGCUGACGGGUAAGGGGUGCUGCGCUGUGAGCACAGGAGCCAGGAGUCCAAAAAGUCCCCAAGAAGCCACGGACCGCUUAUCCCAACUGUGAAGGAAGCUGAUGCGACAUCAAAUAUUAAAAGGGUAGAGGAACCA
rnacentral:lncRNA from 1 species